CUCCUCAGGCCCCACAACAAAAUCUGUGGUGGGUGCAAUGCAAUAGUAGCUCAUGCACCCCAGAGUCAGGCCCAGCUGAACCACUGAGAGGCCAACCAAGUGAAGGGUUUGUGGCGCUUUCAGCCGGGGGACAUCUCCUGCCUCUCACACACCUGUAGUUGCUGCCAAGUACCCCUGCCCAGCCCACAGUGGGGGGGGGGGAUAGUUUGGGUGGAUCGUGUGGCUAGGGGAUUUUGCCCAUUUUGGAAGGGUGUUGUCUCAUUUGUAGUGUGUGUGACUGCACACACAUUUUAAGUGUCUUUCUCUACCUCCCUAAAUCAUGGGAAUUCAUUCUUUGUGUUUUGAAUGUAAAUAUGUGUUGUAUGUGUAGUCUUUUGUGGGAGGGAGUGUUCUGAGCACCACCAGUGAAAUGUGUAUCUUAUGCUGCCCGCAACAGUUUCUGUCAUUCCUAAAUAUAUGCCUCCAGUCCCAAAACUCUCUGCACCCCCAUGAAUCGGGGUGCUGAAUGCUGCAGUCACAGCCAACCUGUUUCUCUCCAUGAUUCCUUCUGGGCUCUGGAUUCUGCUGUGACCCGGGGGGGGGGGGGUUCACAACAUAACAUUACAAUAUAAAAACUACAGAACACAUAGUAGAGAUAACAACCACAGCAAACCAGCAAACCCCUCUCCCACAACACAUUUAAAAGGGCAUCAGAUGUCAAUCAGCCAAAGAAUGUUUUUUGCCUGGUGCCUAAAGGUGUAUAAUGAAAGCGCCAAGCUAACCUCCCUGGGGAGAGCAUCCGACAAACAGGGAGCCACUGCAGAGAAGGCCUGUUCUUGUGUUGUCACCCUCCAGAGCUCUCGUGGAGGAGGCACACGGAGAAGGGCCUCAGAGGAUGAUCUCUGGGUCCAGGUAGGUUCAUAUGGAGAGAGGCGGUCCUUGAGGCAUUGUGGUCCUGAGCCAUUUAAAGUAGCGGUCCUGAGCAGCUCAGCUGCUUCAGUUGCCAUUUGUGGCUGGGAUCUCUCCUGGCUGCACCUAUAUUCCCUUUCCUCUAAGGAGCUCAAGGUGACCUAUAUGGUUCCCCUCCUCCCACUUGAUCCUCACAACAAGAACAUCCUUGUGAGGUAUGUUAGGCUAAGGCACAGUGUCUGGCCCUAGUCCUCUUCUCCCAAGCCCUAGUGGAACACGUUAACCACUGCACAAAACAAAGUUUGGAUUAAUACACUUUUUUAGACCUCAAAUUUUCUACAAAGCCCAGAACAGCAGCACCAUCAUGUAUGAAACUGCCUUACACUAAGUCAGGCCAUCAAGCCUAACGUUGUCUUUACUGAAUGGCAGCAGCCACCCAGGAUUUCAGACUAGGCUCUCUCCCAGAUGCUAGGGACUGAACCUGGGACCUUCCGCAUGCAAAAGUAGGUACUGAGCUUUGACCCUUCCACACAGGGCAAAAUGGCUACUUUGGCACUACCUUCCCAACUACCCAAGAAACGUGGCUUUGGUGUACCAGGCAGAUGUACCAUUCACCAUGUGACAUGUCUCCGCCUUCCUCUACCACCCAGCAUGCUUCCUAGCCAACUCAAGGGCAGGUGGUCCAGCGUGUGAAGGAAAGAGAAGAAUCCCUUUCCCAUCUCGCCCUCCCUCCAAGGUCCUACUCUAACUCCAUUGUGGCUGGUAGGGCAGAAGGCAGGGAGCCCGACAGUAGAUGGCGCCACAACAGAUAACUGGAACCAGAGCCAGGAACAGACAGAACCAACCGAGUCCGGUUUUGUUCUUGCCUUCCUCCCUUGCUGAGUUCUGCAAGGGCAACACGGAGACUAAGGAGGAGGUGGGAGCUGAUAGCGAGGACCAUCACCUGGGCUGUUUGUAAGAAAGGAGGCAGGAAACUGGGUGGAGGCAGACAGGUUGGUUGGGCAGUGCCCCCCUUGCCCAUAUGGACCACCCUCCACUGGCUGUUUGGACUGACCCAGGUGCACUGCUUUUCUAAUGCUCUUGUCACCAAAGUUUUGGCAAAACACUCUCUCACACACAACCCAUGCCAAAUUUGGAGCCGCAUCUGUAAUCCCUCACAAACAUAUUUUCCUCCAGUGCUGCACCUGCCACAAUGAUUUCAGGAUGUUGUGGGGAUGAGCUUUCCUGCUAAUUAUAAUUACAUCAAAAUCAUAGUGAUUUAUUCUUGCCAAAGCUCGAGAGAGAUUUCUGGAGAUCGCCUAGACAUUGGAAUAAAGGCCAGCCUGAG